rnacentral:sRNA from 1 species
AUUAAAUUUAAUUAAUUAAAUUAGUAUUUGACUUUUUAAUUCUUAAAGAGAUAAAUUAAUUUACUCUUUAAAAUUUUAUUUCUAAUGGCAUACCUAUGUAAUUACUUAUAAAAAUUAAGGUUAUAUUUAAAAUGUACUUCCCAAAUAAUAUAGUAGGAUAUGGUAUAACGUAACACUGCAACUUAUACGGAUCGUGCAAAAUCCUAAAAGGCCAUUUUGCAAUAAUAUAACCAACAAAAAAUCAUUU